rnacentral:rRNA from 1 species
UACGGAGGGUGCAAGCGUUAUCCGGAUUUACUGGGUUUAAAGGGUGCGUAGGCGGACAGGUAAGUCCGUGGUGAAAUCUCUGAGCUUAACUCAGAAACUGCCAUGGAUACUAUUUGUCUUGAAUACUUUGGAGGUAAGCGGAAUAUGUCAUGUAGCGGUGAAAUGCUUAGAUUAUGACAUAGAACACCAAUUGCGAAGGCAGCUUGCUACAGGAAUAUUGACACUGAGGCACGAAAGCGUGGGGAUCAAACAGG